rfam:Sporanaerobacter sp. PP17-6a isolate PP176A genome assembly, contig: PP17-6a_contig12
GAACGCCGUAUGCGGUGAAAGCCGCACGUACGGUGUGGACCAAGCGAAAUCCGUAAGGAUAGCAAGGGAUAGCGUACCGGUAGAGAAAUUUACAUUAACUUUAGAUGGAGAAGGUUUAUCAUCAACUCCAAU